rnacentral:rRNA from 1 species
UAGGGAAUCUUCGGCAAUGGACGGAAGUCUGACCGAGCAACGCCGCGUGAGUGAAGAAGGGUUUCGGAUCGUAAAGCUCUGUUGUUAGAGAAGAACGUUGGUAGGAGUGGAAAAUCUACCAAGUGACGGUAACUAACCAGAAAGGGACGGCUAACUACGUGCCAGCAGCCGCGGUAAUACGUAGGUCCCGAGCGUUGUCCGGAUUUAUUGGGCGUAAAGCGAGCGCAGGCGGUUCUUUAAGUCUGAAGUUAAAGGCAGUGGCUAAACCAUUGUACGCUUUGGAAACUGGAGGACUUGAGUGCAGAAGGGGAGAGUGGAAUUCCAUGUGUAGCGGUGAAAUGCGUAGAUAUAUGGGGGAACACCGGUGGCGAAAACGGCUCUCUGGUCUAUAACUGACGCUGAGGCUCGAAAGCGUGGGGAGCAAACAGG